rnacentral:rRNA from 1 species
GGAAUCUUAGACAAUGGGGGAAACCCUGAUCUAGCCAUGCCGCGUGAGCGAUGAAGGCCUUAGGGUUGUAAAGCUCUUUCGCUGGGGAAGAUAAUGACGGUACCCAGUAAAGAAGCCCCGGCUCACUCCGUGCCACCAGCCGCGGUAAUACGGAGGGGGCUAGCGUUGUUCGGAAUUACUGGGCGUAAAGCGCGCGUAGGCGGAUUGGAAAGUUGGGGGUGAAAUCCCGGGGCUCAACCCCGGAACUGCCUUUGAUACUGGUAGUCUUGAGUUCGAGAGAGGUGAGUGGAAUUCCGAGUGUAGAGGUGAAAUUCGUAGAUAUUCGGAGGAACACCAGUGGCGAAGGCGGCUCACUGGCUCGAUACUGACGCUGAGGUGCGAAAGCGUGGGGAGCA